rnacentral:rRNA from 1 species
GGCCCGCACAAGCGGUGGAGCAUGUGGUUUAAUUUGAAGCAACACGCAGAACCUUACCUACCCUUGACAUGCCGGUCGCGAUUUCCAGAGAUGGAUUUCUUCAAUUCGGUUGGACCGUGCACAGGUGCUGCAUGGCUGUCGUCAGCUCGCGUCGUGAGAUGUUGGGUUAAGUCCCGCAACGAGCGCAACCCUCACUGUUAGUUGCCAGCAUUUAGUUGGGCACUCUAGCGGAACUGCCGGUGCUAAGCCGGAGGAAGGUGGGGAUGACGUCAAGUCCUCAUGGCCCUUACGGGUAGGGCUACACACGUGCUACAAUGGCAGUGACAAUGGGUUAAUCCCCAAAAACUGUCUCAGUUCGGAUUGGGGUCUGCAACUCGACCCCAUGAAGUCGGAAUCGCUAGUAAUCGCGUAACAGCAUGACGCGGUGAAUACGUUCCCGGGCCUUGUACACACCGCCCGUCACACCAUGGGAGUUGGUUCUACCCGACGACGCUGCGCUAACCUUCGGGGGGCAGGCGGCCACGGUAGGAUCAGCGACUGGGGUG